ensembl:lncRNA LINC02492 long intergenic non-protein coding RNA 2492
AGGAGGAUCAUCUGCUGUGGGUGUUCCUGAUCUUUGAGCCAUGAUAAUGUUACUGGUUGGAUGUCAGGAGCAGGCCAUGUGGAUGAUUAAAAGAUGAAUAUCAUAUACAGCAUGGAUAUGUUGGACAAAAAGAUGAUUCACAUCCCAGACAGAAUGGAGCAGAGUUGUUAUGUAAAACCUCCCAGCGAAAGAAAUAGUCCAGAAAGCUUGAAGAGAAACUGAAAUUUGAAAAAUCUACCUAAAAAGGUGAUAAAGGAUUUUCAGUUUUGCAAAAAACGCAAUACAGAGUGUCUUUGGAAAGAAAGUUCUCAUAUGGAUUUAAAAUAUGAUUCAAUUUACAGAAGUCAGAGUUGUUCUUCCAGAUGGCAUGAAUCCAACAGUGAAGAAAUCAGAAUACGUUGCUUUUGUGAGGGGCAGCUGCUGAUUUUCUCUGAGCUCCGUUUCCAGCCUUCACAUGCUCUGCUAUUCAUCACAGGGUAAAUUCUGACUAUAGGAGGUACUGACAGAAGAUUAGGGAAGAACAGGUAUGGAAAAACCAAAGUAUUUCUCCCAGUCACCCACCUUCAGUGAACCCUGCUUCUGUCAGGAAACCCGCCGUGAUUGUCCAUGUGGAAACCUUACCUCUUUCCAUUGUGUCUGUAGCCGCAGGAGCAGUAACAGCUUCCCAAGCAUGGCUCAUGUCUGGUUAACUCAUGAUCCCCUUUCUAAUAAAAAUAUACCUGUAGAUCAAAAA